UAAGGUGGGGCUUGCACUAGAAAAUAGUUAGGGCUAAGACAGGUAUGUAUAAUAAUUAAGAAUGUUAGAGUAUUUAUGUAAAUAAAAUAUAUCUUUAUUUAGUUAAAUAAGGUGAGAUUUAUAAAAUUUCUGAAUAUUUUCAGCCUAUAGUAUUAAAGUAAAUUUUAAUGGGGAUUUAGCUAUAGCCUGAGUAGUUAGUAAAAAAGUGCCAGCACUAGCGGUUAUACUUUUACUGCGAAUUAUUUGUUUAAUAAAGAUUUUGGAUUAAUCAGUAAAAUUGGAUGAAAUCUUUUUUAUGAAAUCUGUUUGAAUUAGGAUAAAGGAAUAGGAUUAGAUACCCUAGUACUCUUAAUAAUAAAUUCUUUAAUUAAUAAGAUUUCUUAAAAUUUAAGUCUUGGCGGCGAAUAAACCAACUAGAGGGUCUUGUUUAUGUAAAUGAUAAUACACAUUUAAUCGUACUUAUAUAAUAAAUUAUUAAUAUGCCGUCGUAAAGGAAUGUUAAAAAUAAUUUUCCGGUUAAUUCUGAAAUUUUAUUACAGAUAAGGCGUUAAGGAUAUAUGAGUUUGAAUGAGACACAGGUAAUAUAGUUAGAAUUUAUAAUUGAAAAAUAUAAAUGAGUAGAAUUUAGUAGUAGUGAUGUUUAAUUUAAAUAUUGCGAAAUGAGUUAAUAUUCGUGUACAUAUCGCCCGUCAAUCCUUUGUUUAUGGGAGGAUAAGUCGUAACAAGGUAAAUAUUCUGGAAAGAGUAUUU
rnacentral:ncRNA from 1 species